rnacentral:rRNA from 1 species
GAUGAACGCUGGCGGCGUGCCUAAUACAUGCAAGUCGAGCGAACAGACGAGGAGCUUGCUCCUCUGACGUUAGCGGCGGACGGGUGAGUAACACGUGGAUAACCUACCUAUAAGACUUGGAUAACUUCGGGAAACCGGAGCUAAUACCGGAGAAUAUAUUGAACCGCAUGGUUCAAUAGUGAAAGACGGUUUUGCUGUCACUUAUAGAUGGAUCCGCGCCGCAUUAGCUAGUUGGUAAGGUAACGGCUUACCAAGGCAACGAUGCGUAGCCGACCUGAGAGGGUGAUCGGCCACACUGGAACUGAGACACGGUCCAGACUCCUACGGGAGGCAGCAGUAGGGAAUCUUCCGCAAUGGGCGAAAGCCUGACGGAGCAACGCCGCGUGAGUGAUGAAGGUCUUCGGAUCGUAAAACUCUGUUAUUAGGGAAGAACAAAUGUGUAAGUAACUAUGCACGUCUUGACGGUACCUAAUCAGAAAGCCACGGCUAACUACGUG